GGCGCUGCGGCUCGUGCUGUGCGCGCUGGGGCUGGCGCUCUCCGUGUACGCGCUGCACGUGGAGAGCUCGCGGGAGCGGGCCCCCGGGUACCGGGCCAUGUGCGACCUGAGCCCCUCCGUCAGCUGCUCCAAGGUCUUCAUCUCCAGACUAAAAGAGAGAGGGACCUGUGUGACAUUCUCCACUCCGCUGAGCAGCCAGAUUGAGGUGACAAUCCCAAAGUCUCCAGAGUCAAGCACAGAACCCAGGAGUCCUGGCUCCCAGGCCCCACUGCGCCUCUGGGAAUGAUCCAGGAUGGGGCAACUCCAGACUCUGCCUCAACACUGGAGAGCAGAGCCGAGACACCAGGACCUGCCGCAUCAGUGGAGGGGAGCAGACCUGAGGCUCCAGAGACAUCUCCCAACAAAGUUCCUGCAGAUACGGUCCAGAUACGGGAAACAGGAGCUGGGUCUCCAUGGCCCAUUCCAUCCCUGACCACGGGCUGACUCGGCCGAUGAGGAAGUCAGUCAGGGCCCUCCACAUUCCCCUGGUUCUUCCAUCCAGCGUCUCCAUCUCCAUACACCCGCUGCGCCCGAGCGCCUGCCCAUCCCCUGUGUAUUGUCCACCUGUGAAGGAUGUGGAAGGUGCCAGGACUGUUUUACAAACACUUCAUGUAUUAGCUUUGUCAGACCUGCUUCCUGUACAGCCCCGGCUCCACACCUUGGCUGCUUUGCUCCAGCCCUAUGCCCUGCCUGCCUUGAACCCCUGGCUCUGACCCUUGGUUGGCCUCCCGACCGCACCUCCGCUUCUGCCCUCCAGCUCUGCUUUGACCACUAGGCCAGACUCCUGCUCUGACCAUGAGGUUGCACCACCUACAUCUCGGUGUGGGACACCCAGCCCCGGGAGUGGGGAGUGGGGUCUGGGUAAGGGAAGCCUCCCUAAGUGUUAGCUGAGACAGAGGGGUGUGAACGGUUGGGUGGGUUAGAUCCCUUUGCUUCUUAGGCUUUGGGCCCCUCCGUUGAGAUGAAUGGAGCUGGCGUUUGGAAAAGGCUGGUGUCUGUCCCUGUAUUCACACACUGGCCUCAGCUCCCGGAGGUGAGCAUGGCAGGGCCAGGCCCAGGCCCAGCUGCAGGAGGAAUCACCGCUGGGACUAUAGCUAUUUCCCUGGUCUGUGACUGGGCGCAUGGGGAGAUUCUUCCUCAGGGGGGUGAAGCCUUGAGGCCUAAAUCUUGGGAACGGAGACAUAGAGGAGGCCAAGGUGCAGCUGGCGCUGAGCUGUGACGCCAUCCUGGGUGGUGACGCCUUCGUGUCCGUCUGCAGGGAGAAGAGCCGUGAAGACGGUCCUGUCCUAGCUGAGAAUCAUGAACUUCAGAAACACGAACCUCAGGCUGAGGGAUCUCUUGGAAAUCAGUCCAGACAGCGUGAAGGACUCGACUCCUUAUACCUGGGGAGACUUGCCUAGGCACUUCAUAGAAUCAUAGAAUAUCAGGGUCGGAAGGGACCUCAGGAGGUCAUCUAGUCCAACCCCCUGCUCAAAGCAGGACCAAUUCCCAACUAAAUCAUCCCAGCCAGGGCUUUGUCAAGCCGGGCCUUAAAAACCUCCAAGGAAGGAGACUCCACCACCUCCCUAGGCUUCGGAGAGCUGCCAAUCUCGCACCAACAGGUCCAGACCCUGCAACAGAGAGCGCAGGAGGAGGGUCACACUGGGGCUGGGAGCACAGAGAGGAGACCAGAGCUGGAGGCUGCUGCCGAACCCCGCCACCGACAUCGAGAUCCUGGGCAUGACGUGAGCGUGGAGGUAGAAUAAUGGGAGCAGGGACUGGCUGUUUGUUCGGGGUUUGACCAGCACCUGGCACAAUGGGGUUCUGGUCUAGGAAGGGGGGGUCUGAGGUGCUCUGGCAAUAGAGACAAUGAAUAAUAAGAAUCAGGUGGGGGUGAUGGGAGUGGGGGGUGGAACCAGCAUUGGGUUGAUGGGAAACGAGGACUCACCUGGAUUGGGGGCAGACUGCAGGUCUCUCCGACCUCCUUCGCAACAUGAACGAACAUCUGCGAUGCAGCGAGAGAGAGACAAGGAAUUUUUUUUCCAUCUUGAACAAAAGAUCCCCCCACAGGUGACAAAGACGGAAAACUGAAGAUUGAAACCUGAGAAACAAUGAUAGCUCCCUAAAAAUGUGAAGAGAGACACCCAAGAGAUACUAACAUUUGGCUGUUCUUUGAAAAUGGAAAUUUUCAUGAAAAGAUUCUGAUUUUGUCAGUUUUCCAUUUUUCAGCAAAACUUUUAUUUUCCAUUUCUCCACACUGUCACUAUGAAAUAAUCUGACAGCUAAUGGUGGGUACUAAAUAACCAACAGCUGGCAGCCAAUAGUGACUAACAAGUAACCAAUAAUUGGCAGCUAUUAAUAAAGAUAAAAUUACCAAUUAUAGAAGUUAAUCGGCCAAGUGAAGUAAAAGGCCUAACA